CCCACUUCGGAUAAAAACAUCCACUCGUCUCCAGCGCGGCGUCGUCUUCUUCCUUCCUUAAUAUCACUCUCUCUCUCUCUCCUUCUCCUUAUCUAGUCUUCCGAUCCACGUUAGGGAGGAAGAAGAGUCUCUCUUCUCUUCUAAUCGUCUUGAACGGAUUUUUUUUAAAAAUUAAUCGUCUUGAAGGGCCCCCAUCGCAGAUUUUGGGUGGUGGGGGGUGAGCCACAAGGUCUGCGGAGGAGGGUCAGCAUGACAACAUCGCAGAUCUAAGGAGGAUAGGGCAGCCAAUGCCAGAUCUGGGGAGAAAGAGGGAUUCCUUAAGCGACGCUAAUUCCUUCCACCCCUUUCCAAUCCUUCUCCCGAACCCUCGAAUCCCCAGAACCUAACUCAUGUUUCUUGAUUCAGCCCUUUGGAGAAGCUGGUGCAGAUCGAGUACGCUCUGAUGGCCGUCGGAUCCGGCCAAACAUCUCUUGGAAUCAAGGGCAGGAUUCAGAGGUCCCCAGGUAUCAUGGAAAAAAGCUGUCAUUCCUCCACCACCAUCCCCAAUCCCGCCGCCGCCGCCGCCGCCAAUACCAGCAGCUCUCUUAGCACCACCACCUCCUCCUCCUCCUCCUCCUCCACCACCACCACUAGCUCUCACAUCCGAACCUCCCUCAAGUCCCUCAACAAGGCCUCUUAUAAGAUCUCUAAGCCACUCACCAAAAAUCCAAACCCUAACUCCGCCCGCCCCUCCCCGCCGCCCGCCGCGAUAAAUAGCGGCGGCGCUCCGCCCCAGCAGUCGCAGCCCCCCGUCUACAACAUCGACAAGAACGACUUCCGCGACGUCGUCCAGAAGCUCACCGGAUCCCCCGUCCACCACCACCCCCGCCCGGCGGCGCCUCCUCCUCCUCCUCCCCCUCCCGCCGCCGCUCCUGCCGCCACCUCCCGCCUCCAUCGCAUCCGUCCGCCGCCCCUCGCCCAUCUAGCACCCCAGCACUCUCCACUUACCCCCGCGCCCCCGCCGCCGGCCGCCUCCGCUGCCGACGUCUGGACGAGGCCCCCCCUCUCCCCGCUCCCCCCCUUCCCCACCGUCAGCGCCGCCGCGGAGUCGCCCAUCUCCGCCUACAUGCGCCGCCUCCACAGCGGCGGGGGCGGGCAGCCGCCGCUGGUGCCCUCGCCGACGGCGGCGGCGGCGGCGAUGCUGCUCCCCCCGCCGACUUCGCCGUUAGGGUUCGGGUGCCUGCCGUCUCCCCGGUCAGCGUACCAGAUGAUGCUCUCGCCGGGCAUGGUGUUCCCGACCUCGCCAGGAGUGCCCUUGCCGAGCCCGAGGUUGGGGGAUCCGUGAAGGGAGGGCUCCGAUGCUUCCUUUCUCUGGAUCAGCCUGCUCUCCAGCUCAGAAGGGUUUUUUAGCCAUAUCUCCGAGGUACAUAGAAACAGGUAUUUAUCUGAAUUUUGAGGUUGGACCCUUCCAUAAUUUGUUUUACUGGCAAAAAACAUCUGCUGCUCUGAUUGAUGCAAGAGGUUAUCCAAGAAAGUUCUUUUAAUGGAUGGUUCAGGGGAGCUUUGCCCAUGGUUUUGUUGCUGCAAUAGCAUUUGAGGUAUAUGCUGGAAUACCUUAGGCUGUAUGCUGGAUUACCUAAUGCCGGAGUGUUGACGGUCCCACAGCUAAAACAAAGUUGGCCUUAUGAUUCUUUGAGCUGCUAUGCAGCUGAAGUGAUCUCGCCCAAGCUAGAACUCAAUUAGAUGUUCCCCAUUCAAUCUUCAUGGAGCCUGCGAAUGAUGGAAUCGUUCCUUCGGGGGAAAGGAAUUGUUAUGGCCGAUAAGCCUUAGGAUUGGGCGGCCAGAUACAUUUCUAUAUCAAUUGUUUCAUCAAAGAAUGCCAUAUCGGUUGAUACCAGUACAUACCGAUCAUACCAUACCAUAUAGGUACUAAAUUGGUACGGCAUAUGUAUUGGACAUAUCAAUAUGGUAACAUAUUGGUAUCGAUACGAAGUCUGGUAUUAAGAUGGGUUAUUUUGGUUUUUCAUUAGUAAAAAUCUAAUUUGAUUUAAUCAUGCUGAUCUCAUUAAUAUUUUAGGUAGAGAUUUUUGUUGCCGGUUGUCCAACUCAGUUUUCACAUUUUGCAAACUCAGCCAUUUCAUCAAGCGAGUUUUAGAAUCAGAAUGACCAUAUUCUCUAUCAUAUUUAGUUCAUGAUUAAAAUCAGAAUGGCCAUAUUCUCUAUCAUAUUUGGUUCAUGAUUAAAAUUAGAAUCGUAAUGAAAUUUGAAUACUAGGAAAGAAUCAGAAUUGAGUUUUGGAGGGAUUGAGCAUUCUUAUUCUUUCUAGAAUUAGAAUGGGAAUGGAGUUUUUUCUAACCAAAUGGCUGUAAUGGGAAUCAUUUAUUCCAA